rnacentral:rRNA from 1 species
CGGGGGGGGGGCAAGCGUUGUUCGGAAUUACUGGGCGUAAAGGGCGCGCAGGCGGGCGGGAAAGGUCUCUCGUGAAAUCCCACGGGCUCAACCGCGGAAUUGCGGGAGAUACUACUCGUCUUGAGUUCGGGAGAGGAGUGUGGAAUUCCCAGUGUAGCGGUGAAAUGCGUAGAUAUUGGGAGGAACACCGGUGGCGAAGGCGGCACUCUGGACCGAUACUGACGCUGAGGCGCGAAAGCUAGGGGAGCAAACGGGAUUAGAUACCCCGGUAGUCCUAGCUGUAAACGCUGAGCACUUGGUGUAGCGGGUAUCGACCCCUGCUGUGCCGAAGCUAACGCAUUAAGUGCUCCGCCUGGGGAGUACGGUCGCAAAGGCUG